rnacentral:rRNA from 1 species
CCUACGGGAGGCAGCAGUGAGGAAUAUUGGUCAAUGGACGAGAGUCUGAACCAGCCAAGUAGCGUGAAGGAUGACUGCCCUAUGGGUUGUAAACUUCUUUUAUAAAGGAAUAAAACGAGGCACGUGUGCCUUUUUGCAUGUACUUUAUGAAUAAGGAUCGGCUAACUCCGUGCCAGCAGCCGCGGUAAUACGGAGGAUCCGAGCGUUAUCCGGAUUUAUUGGGUUUAAAGGGAGCGUAGAUGGGUUGUUAAGUCAGUUGUGAAAGUUUGCGGCUCAACCGUAAAAUUGCAAUUGAUACUGGCAGUCUUGAGUACAGGUGAGGUAGGCGGAAUUCGUGGUGUAGCGGUGAAAUGCUUAGAUAUCUGGAGGAACAUCAGUGGCGAAGGCGACUAUCUGGCACAUAACUGACGCUGAGGAGCGAAAGCGUGGGUAGCAAACAGGAUUAGAUACCCUUGUAGUC